rnacentral:rRNA from 1 species
CAGCAGCCACGGUAAUACGGAGGGGGCUAGCGUUGUUCGGAAUUACUGGGCGUAAAGCGCACGUAGGCGGCUUGGUAAGUUAGAGGUGAAAGCCCAGGGCUCAACCCUGGAAUUGCCUUUAAGACUGCCGAGCUAGUAGGUGAGAGAGGUAAGUGGAAUUCCGAGUGUAGAGGUGAAAUUCGUAGAUAUUCGGAAGAACACCAGUGGCGAAGGCGGCUUACUGGCUCAUUCUAGACGCUGAGGUGCGAAAGCGUGGGGAGCAAACAGGAUUAGAGACCCGCGUAGUCCCUGUCUCUUAUAC